rnacentral:rRNA from 1 species
UACAGAGGUCCCAAGCGUUGUUCGGAUUCACUGGGCGUAAAGGGUGCGUAGGUGGUGAGGUAAGUCGGAUGUGAAAGCUCCGAGCUCAACUCGGAAAUGGCAUUGGAAACUACCUUGCUCGAGGGUUUGAGGGGGGACUGGAAUACUUGGUGUAGCAGUGAAAUGCGUAGAUAUCAAGUAGAACACCAGUGGCGAAGGCGAGUCCCUGGAAAACUCCUGACACUGAGGCACGAAGGCCAGGGGAGCAAACGGG